UCCUCUUCUGCUUUUCUUUCUUUCUUGUUUCUUCUUCCCCUCGUGUACCUUUGGCUUCUCCGUCAGCGUAUUGGAAUGGCGGAGUCGACUGAGCAUCAGCAACUGGCGGCCAUUCUCGGUCCUGAGCCCGCCGCCACUUUCCAAACCGUAAUCUCCCACUUAAUCUCCUCCCCCUCCUCUUUGCAAACCCUAAUCUCCGACCUCAUCUCCUCCGAGAAGCGGUCCGAGGCCGAGCUCGUCUUCAACAUCUGCAAGCAGGCCGAUCAGGAGUCGCUUUCUCUCAAACUCGCUCAGCUUCUCCAGGUCUCUCCCGACGAGAAGACACGAACCAUGUCCUCCAUUCUCCUCCGGAAGCAACUACUCACCCGCGACCUGUGGCGAAUACUCUCUCCUAACACCAUAUCCACCCUCAAACAUACUCUAUUAUCUUGUAUUCAACGCGAGGACACCCCAACAUCGAUUUCGAAGGCCAUCUCCUACGCCGUGUCGGAGCUUGCCUCCGCAGUGUUGUUCGUCGACGGCUGGCUGGAGCUCUUGCCCUUUCUGUUCCAAUCCACCUCUUACGAUGCGCCGCCGAAGCUUCAGGAAUGUUCCUUCUUGAUUUUCGCUCAGCUCUCGUACUUCUUUACCCCGUUUAAGAAGGAAUUACACACCGUCUUCUUGUACUGCUUGAGCUCCUCCACAAGGUCAGAUGCAGUUAAGAUAGCUGCGUUUAGUGCUGUGGUCAAUUUCAUUCGGUGUUUGCCCUACUCUGAAGAUGAGGAUAGGUUUCACGACGUCUUGAUUGAAAUGAUGAGAACAGUGAUGGGGAAAUUGAACAAAGGGAAGGAGAUCAUGGCACAGGAAGCGAUCAAGUUGUUCAUUGAAUUGGCCGGGACCCAUCCGUCGUUGCUCAGCCGCAACGGGCAGAUCAUCCGGGCUAUGCUGCAGAUUGCUGAAGCCAUAGAUGUCUUGGAACAAGGGACGAGGCACUUGGCCAUUGAGUUUCUGAUUACUCUGGCCGAGGCCGGAGAGCGUGCACCAUGGAUAAUGAGGAGGUGUCGGGAGUUUGUUGGUCUACUUUUUCCCAUUUUAAUGAGGAUGGUUUCAAAUGUCAAGGAUGAUCCCUCAUGGCAUACAGCUGAGACUGAUGAUGACAUUGCCUUGGGUGUAAGUGGUGACUACUGUGUUGGGCAGGAGUGUUUGCAUAGGCUUGCCAUUGCCUUGGGUGGCGAUAACAUUGUUCCAAUUGCGUUAGAACACUUUACUGCCCAUUUUGCUGCACCCGAGUGGCCCAAGCAUCAUGCAGCAUUGAUUGCCCUUGCUCAAAUCGCUGAGGGUUGCUCUGAGAUAAUGAUAAAAGAUUUGGAGCAGGUGGUGCCAAUGGUUUUGAACUCCUUUAAACAUCCACAUAUUCGGGUAAGGUGGUCAGCUAUUAAUGCAGUUGGCCAGUUGUCUACUUAUUUGGCCCCAGACCUGCAAGUUCAAUAUCAUCAACAGGUGUUUUUUGCACUGAAUGCCACUAUAUAUGGGUUGCAGAACCGUCGUCUACUGGCACAUGCAGCUUCAGCACUGCGAAAAUUCAUUGAGAAAUGUGCUAGGGAUAUCUUGACACCUUAUUUGGAUGAAGUGGUUUCCCAAUUGGUUGUACUUUUGCAGAGUGAGAUACAAAUGGUGCAAGUAGAAGCAUCGACUGCUUUGUCAUCAGUUGUUGUUUCAUUUCCGGAGCAAUUCCAAAAAUACUAUGAAGAUGUCAUGAUUCCCCUGAGAGUUAUGUUGUUGGAUGCCACUAAUAACCCGGUUUGGUCCAAGUCCGUGGCGUGUAUUAGCUUGGUUGGUAUGGCUGUUGGAAAGGAGAAAUUCAGGGAUGAUGCUAAGAAAGUCAUGGAAGUGCUGAUGUCUUUGCAAGGAUCUCAAAUGGAGCCAGAUGACCUAACUACAAGUUGCAUGCUACAGAUAUGCGCUGACCUCUGCAAGUGUCUAGGACAAGAUUUCCUUCCGUACAUGAGUGCUGUUAUGCCUCCUUUGCUUCAGUUUGUUCAAAUUAAGCCUGUUGAAACUGUUACCUCUGCAAAUGACAAUUGUGAUAUGGAUGAAUCUGAUGAUGAAAGUUUGGAAACAAUUACUCAUGGAGAUAAAAGGAUUAGAAUCAAGACUAGUGUAUUGGAGGAAAAAGUUACAGCUUGCAAUUUGCUGUGUUGCUAUGCUGAUGAACUGAAGGAAGGAUUCUUUCCAUGGAUCGAUCAGGUUGCCCCAACGUUAGUUCCACUUAUAUUUUAUAUCCAUGAAAAUGUGAGGAAGUCUGCUGUUUCAGCAAUGCUGAAGCUACUGCUUACUGCAAAGUUAGCUGUAGACAGAAGGCAAGCUGAAGGUUGUAAUGAAAAGUAUUUAAAGCGAUUGACUGACUACAUCAUUGGAGCUCUGAAGUUACGUAAGGAAGAUGACUCUGAAAUCUGCAUAAAUAUAUUGGAUGCUAUAAAUGAAUUUAUACAGGUCUGGACACACACGCGCGCACACACAGACACGCACUGGUCUGGAUGCAGUCUGGAUCAGAAGUGGAUGUCUGCAAAGACGCAAAAGUGCGGACGCGGCUAAGGGCAUUGUGGAUGGUGGUGCUGGUCUUGCGGGUGCCGAACCAGGCCUCCAUCCUUAGCUUCUUGCCCGUAGACUUCUGUGUUGAGCUCGAAGUUGAGAUUGAGGUGCUGGAGGUUUUGGGUGAACUUCCCAUGCGGACUUUCAACCUCGAUCACUUUUUCCUCCAUAAUGGUGGACGCCAUCCGGGAUGUUAGUAGUCUCCGAGGACAGAAUCUGCGCACCAUCCGCACCGCCCCGAGCUGCGUCUGCGUUUUCAAUUUUCUCAUCAGAUCUUUGCAUCCACUCUAGAUGAAAGCCAUGUCAAAUCCAUCAAGGAGAUAAAGCAGGUGAGUAUUCGUUCAAGUAAGAAAAGAAAGAGAGCAGAAAGGACCUCAGCAUAUGAUUUUGAUGAUGAGGAAAGG